UUGCCCUUUUUCUAUUAAAACCCAUAAAAUGGAUACCUGAUCCCGCAGAGUGAUUCAAGCACAUCAGGUGAUGAUCAUGAUGUUGAAUCCGAGAGUCAAAGCAAGUUACUAGUCCCAGCAAGCAACGAAUUACUGGUGUCACCCUCGGGAACCCAGAUUGGCUAGUUACAAGGGUGGGAAUCUCACUCUUGCCGGAACAAUCACCCCCAACCUCUCUUUCCUCUGCCUAAUCAACUUGCAGAACAAUAGCUUCAGCGGUUACCUUCCAACAGACUUGGGCAAGCUCUUUCGGCUAGAGACGCUCGUUCUAGCUUCCUAUGUCAUCCGUGGAACCAUACCCUCCUCGCUUAGCCUCUGUUCUAAGCUUCAGCUUCUUGAUUUGUCUGAUAAUCAGUUUCACGGGUCAAUCCCACCAGAAUUAGGAAUUCAUUCCAAAUGAAUUAGGUUAGCUCCAUUUCUUGUUACAAUUAAGCUUAGCUGACAACAAUCUCUCAGGUGAGAUUUCCAACUCUCUAUACAAGUUACAACCUUUCUUCUUUACCCAAUUUGUUCUCUACUUUACCCAAUCUAGAUACCUUGUUUGUGGGUGGUAACUUGCUACAAGGACCAAACCCCGCAUCUCUCUCCAAUGCUUCAAGCCUGAAACGACUUGAUCUCUCAUCCAACCAAUUCACAGGACAGGUUCCCCUGCCCUAGAAUCUUCCAAAUCUUUUAAUUCUGAAUCUUGAGAUCAAUGGUUUGGUAAGCAACGGUGAGAACGGAUUGGAUUUCAUCACCUCAUUGCAAGAUUCCACCCUUCUACAAGUUUUUUCUAUUGCUACAUAGGUAAUCUCUGAACUCAGCUUUCUCUGCUAGUAAUGGAUGAAAAUUGGGAAUCUACAGUCUCAUAAUGUUGUCUAUAGAAUCGAAUUCCUUAACCGGGAACAUUCCUUGAAUGUUUCAAAACCAUUGGUUUUAUUGUACAGGAUGGACUUUGUCACUGACCCCAUGGUACAAGGGGUCUUUGUAAAACAUUAGAUUGUGGAAAGAUGCGUGGCGUACGGAAAAUGAAAAGUUCAUUUGUUACCAAUUUAGCGUUUUUUAGAUUGAGAACUCUUUUUGAUUACUUGGAUGGAUGACUAAAGAAUCCUGUAUCUUGAAGAAUAGAAUAUCAUUGGAUAUAUAUACACCAGUUGGCCUUCUUUUAGUAAGUCCCUUUUGAACAAGUCGGGUAAAUGGGGGGGAAGCUGAUGCAAUUCCAAGCUUUAGCCAUAAUGAAGGCAUUUCCAUCCCAUGACUUUUUCUCAACCCGCAUUAAGGUCAGUGGGACCUUACCCGUAGUCCUGUACCUCUCUGUUCUGUCGCCAGUCGCCACCCCUGGGUCCCCCCAUUGUACUAAUAGUCUAAUACCAAAGGAACAAAAGAAAACAAAAAAAAAAAAAAAAAAAAAA